CCUACGGGAGGCAGCAGUGAGGAAUAUUGGUCAAUGGGCGCAAGCCUGAACCAUCCAAGUCGCGUGAGGGAUGACGGUCCUAUGGAUUGUAACCCUCUUUUGUCGAGGAUCAAAGCCCGCUACGUGUGUCGGGAAGGAGAGUACCCGAAGAAAAAGCAUCGGCUAACUCCGUGCCAGCAGCCGCGGUAAUACGGAGGAUGCGAGCGUUAUCCGGAUUUAUUGGGUUUAGGGGGAGCGUAGGUGGAUUGUUAAGUCAGUUGUGAAAGUAUGCGGCUCAACCGUAAAAUUGCAGUUGAAACUGGCAGUCUUGAGUACAGUAGAGGUAGGCGGAAUGCGUGGUGUAGCGGUGAAAUGCAUAGAUAUCACGAAGAACUCCGAUUGCGAAGGCAGUACACUGGACUGCAACUGACACUGAGGCUCGAAAGUGUGGGUAUCAAACAGGAUUAGAUACCCGAGUAGUC
rnacentral:rRNA from 1 species